rnacentral:rRNA from 1 species
AACGAGCGCUGGCGGCAUGCCUAACACAUGCAAGUCGAACGAGAUCUUCGGAUCUAGUGGCGCACGGGUGCGUAACGCGUGGGAAUCUGCCCCUUGCUUCGGAAUAACAGUGAGAAAUUACUGCUAAUACCGGAUGAUGUCUUCGGACCAAAGAUUUAUCGGCAAGGGAUGAGCCCGCGUAGGAUUAGGUAGUUGGUGGGGUAAUGGCCUACCAAGCCGACGAUCCUUAGCUGGUCUGAGAGGAUGCUCCGCCACACUGGGACUGAGACACGGCCCAGACUCCUACGGGAGGCAGCAGUGGGGAAUAUUGGACAAUGGGCGAAAGCCUGAUCCAGCAAUGCCGCGUGAGUGAUGAAGGCCUUAGGGUUGUAAAGCUCUUUUACCAGGGAUGAUAAUGACAGUACCUGGAGAAUAAGCUCCGGCUAACUCCGUG